CUCUGUUUAGUAGUCAAGAUGUGCUGAAUUUAUAUUGAUGGUCAGGCCCAGAAAGAAACAUGCCAAAAGAUGAAAUCAUUGCUGGAGCCUAUUCCACACAAAGACAUGAUUUGAACUUGG